UUCAGUGUUGUAUUAAAUUGCUCCUCCAGCUCCUCCUCUCCUCAUCCUCCAAACCCUCUCAUCUGUCAGCAGUGAGCUCACUUUCCAAGUUACAAGGCCAUUCUCAGCACACACUGACAACAUGCUGGGGACCCUCUGCACUCUCAUCACUGCUCUAACAUGUGUGAGUGGUGUGACGGUGGUGACACAGAAGCCUCCUGUUGUGACGUUCACAUCUACUCAUCAGUCAACAUCAGAUUAUCGUUUGAUCAUCAACAAUGUGGAGGAGGGAGACUCAGCAGUCUAUUACUGUCAAACAUGGGACACCUCUGUUAAUGAGUACGUAUUCGGACAAGGCACCAAGCUGAUUGUGACAAGCUCCAGCCUCUCUCCUCCUGUCCUGACAGUCUUCCCUCCGUCCAGUGCUGAGCUGCAGACCAGCGAAGCCACUCUGGUCUGUCUGUCCAGUCAGUCUGUGCCUUUUGCAGAUGUGAGCUGGUUGGUUGCUGGGAAUCCAGUGAGCAGUGGGAUCUCUACCAGCACCCCUGUUCAGAAACCAGACCAGACUUUCCAAAUCAGCAGCUAUCUGUCCAUCCAGACGUCAGACUGGAACAUGGAUAAGAUUUACACAUGCAAAGUGUCUCUGGGCUCCCAGACUUCAGAGAAAAACAUCAACAAGUCAGACUGUUCCACUGAAGAAUAGAAGAGGAGCAGAAUGACUGUUUAACAUCUGCUUCUUUACUGUUUGUGCUGAUUGCUCAUUACAAGGUUUCCAUGUUAGAAAAGAUGUGUCUGCAUGCUUGUAAUAAAUGUUGUGACAGUUAGGUGGAGGUGUUGUAUCAGCUUUGCAAUUGCUGCAUUUUGAAAGAAUCAUUCAAUAAAAUAAAAACAACUUCAU